ACUCAAAGGAAUAGACGGGGGCCCGCACAAGCAGUGGAUUAUGUGGUUUAAUUCGAAGCUACGCGAAAAACCUUACCAGGGCUUGACAUGGAGAUGACCGCUGUAGAGAUACAGCUUCCCCUUCGUGGGGUAUCUCACACAGGUGGUGCAUGGUUGUCGUCAGCUCGUGUCGUGAGAUGUUGGGUUAAGUCCCGCAACGAGCGCAACCCCUAUUGUUAGUUGCUACGAGAGAGCACUCUAGCGAGACUGCCGUUAACAAAGCGGAGGAAGGAGGGGACGACGUCAAAUCAUCAUGCCCCUUACGUCCUGGGCUACACACGUAAUACAAUGGCGUUUAACAGAGGGAAGCGAGACCGCGAGGUGGAGCAAAUCCCCAAAAAGCGUCUCAGUUCGGAUCGCAGGCUGCAACCCGCCUGCGUGAAGUCGGAAUUGCUAGUAAUCGCGGAUCAGCAUGCCGCGGUGAAUACCGUUCCCGGGCCUUGCACACACCGCCCGU
rnacentral:rRNA from 1 species